UACGGGGGGAGCAAGCGUUGUUCGGAUUUACUGGGCGUAAAGGGCGCGUAGGCGGUCGUGACAAGUCACUUGUGAAAUCUCCGGGCUUAACUCGGAACGGUCAAGUGAUACUGUCGGACUAGAGUACAGAAGGGGCAACUGGAAUUCUCGGUGUAGCGGUGAAAUGCGUAGAUAUCGAGAGGAACACCUGCGGCGAAGGCGGGUUGCUGGGCCGACACUGACGCUGAAGCGCGAAAGCCAGGGGAGCGAACGGG
rnacentral:rRNA from 1 species